CCCCAAAGUGAGGAAUAAGCCACCGAAAAGGUGGUCUAAUACUUCAUAAUAUCCCAUCUCGUAUGGAUUAAAGCUUUAUGCGCUUUGGGAGGGGCCUGCGUAACAUUAGCUUGUUGGUGAGGUAAAAGCUCACCAAGGCUUCGAUGUUUAACUGGUUUGAGAGGAUGACCAGUCACACUGGGACUGAGAUACGGCCCAGACUCCUACAGGAGGCAGCAGUAAGGAAUCUUCCACAAUGGGGGCAACCCUGAUGGAGCAAUACCGCGUGCAGGAUGAAGCGUUUCGGCGUGUAAACUGCUUUUAUCACCGAAGAUUAUGACUGUAGGUGAAGAAUAAGGACCGGCUAACUACGUG
rnacentral:rRNA from 1 species